rnacentral:rRNA from 2 species
UUAAAAUGAAUUGACGGGGAACCCGGCACAAGCAGCGGAGCAUGUGGUUUAAUUCGAAGCAACGCGAAGAACCUUACCAGGGCUUGACAUCCCUCUGACCGGCCGGUAACGCGGCCUUCCCUUCGGGGCAGAGGUGACAGGUGGUGCAUGGUUGUCGUCAGCUCGUGUCGUGAGAUGUUGGGUUAAGUCCCGCAACGAGCGCAACCCUUGUCAUUAGUUGCCAUCAUUUAGUUGGGCACUCUAAUGAGACUGCCGGGGACAACUCGGAGGAAGGUGGGGAUGACGUCAAAUCAUCAUGCCCCUUAUGUUCUGGGCUACACACGUGCUACAAUGGCCGGUACAGAGAGACGCAAUGUCGCGAGGCGGAGCAAAACUCUAAAACCGGUCUCAGUUCGGAUUGCAGGCUGCAACUCGCCUGCAUGAAGUCGGAGUUGCUAGUAAUCGCGAAUCAGAACGUCGCGGUGAAUACGUUCCCGGGCCUU